rnacentral:lncRNA from 12 species
AUUGUGGAUUUAGAAAAUUUGAUUUUAUUAUUCUAUCAGAUAUAGGGUCAUCAGACCAUGCCAUUUGUAACUCUAUUGACUUUGAUUUUUAUCAGUUCCCCCUAGGGUGAUCUGACCCUUGAUCCUGAAUUUCCUUUAUCUUUUAGAUCACAAUGAAAAAGUAUUUGUUUACAUCAAGAAAAAUGAUUGUCCGUGGUUCAAAAUAUUGUUUCUUCAUAAGAGGAACUUUAGGAAUGUAGCUAAGAGAAAACAACAUUACUUUAAUCGCUGACCACCAAAUUCUUCUCAGAAUCAG